GAUGAACGCUAGCUACAGGCUUAACACAUGCAAGUCGAGGGGAAACGACAUCGAAAGCUUGCUUUUGAUGGGCGUCGACCGGCGCACGGGUGAGUAACGCGUAUCCAACCUGCCCACCACUUGGGGAUAACCUUGCGAAAGUAAGACUAAUACCCAAUGACGUCUCUAGAAGACAUCUGAAAGAGAUUAAAGAUUUAUCGGUGAUGGAUGGGGAUGCGUCUGAUUAGCUUGUUGGCGGGGUAACGGCCCACCAAGGCGACGAUGCGUAGGGGUUCUGAGAGGAAGGUCCCCCACACUGGUACUGAGACACGGACCAGACUCCUACGGGAGGCAGCAGUGAGGAAUAUUGGUCAAAUGGGCGAGAGCCUGAACCAGCCAAGUCGCGUGAGGGAAGACGGUCCUAUGGAUUGUAAACCUCUUUUGUCGGGGAGCAAAAAGACUACGUGUAGUCCCAAGCGAGAGUACCCGAAGAAAAAGCAAUCGGCUAACUCCGUGCCAGCAGCCGCGGU
rnacentral:rRNA from 1 species